AAGGCACUAGUAAAAUCAUUAUCCUGCCUUGUCAAGGCAAAGUUGUGGGUUAGACCCCCGCGUGCCUUA
rnacentral:tRNA from 1 species